AUUGAACGCUGGCGGCAUGCUUUACACAUGCAAGUCGAACGGUAACAGGGUGGUUGCACCGCUGACGAGUGGCGAACGGGUGAGUAAUGCGUCGGAACGUGCCGAGUAGUGGGGGAAAACGCAGCGAAAGUUGUGCUAAUACCGCAUACGUACUGAGGUAGAAAGUGGGGGACCUUCGGGCCUCACGCUAUUCGAGCGGCCGACGUCUGAUUAGCUAGUAGGUGAGGUAAAGGCUCACCUAGGCGACGAUCAGUAGCGGGUCUGAGAGGAUGAUCCGCCACACUGGGACUGAGACACGGCCCAGACUCCUACGGGAGGCAGCAGUGGGGAAUUUUGGACAAUGGGCGAAAGCCUGAUCCAGCCAUGCCGCGUGUCUGAAGAAGGCCUUCGGGUUGUAAAGGACUUUUGUCAGGGAGGAAAUCCCUAGUGCUAAUAACACUGGGGGAUGACAGUACCUGAAGAAUAAGCACCGGCUAACUACGUGCCAGCCGCCGCAGUAA
rnacentral:rRNA from 1 species